GAAAUAUUAGGUUAUAUUAAACUUACAGCCUGUCAGAUUGUAGAUCUCAUAAUUAUGAGAUAUUUCG
rnacentral:tRNA from 1 species